rnacentral:rRNA from 1 species
UACGGGGGGGCAAGCGUUGUUCGGAAUUACUGGGCGUAAAGGGCGCGUAGGCGGCCUCUUAAGUCGAACGUGAAAUCCCCGGGCUCAACCCGGGAACUGCGUCCGAUACUGGGGGGCUUGAAUCCGGGAGAGGGAUGUGGAAUUCCAGGUGUAGCGGUGAAAUGCGUAGAUAUCUGGAGGAACACCGGUGGCGAAGGCGGCAUCCUGGACCGGCAUUGACGCUGAGGCGCGAAAGCCAGGGGAGCAAAGCGGG